AGUGAACGCUGGCGGUAGGCCUAACACAUGCAAGUCGAACGGCAGCACAGUAAGAGCUUGCUCUUACGGGUGGCGAGUGGCGGACGGGUGAGGAAUACAUCGGAAUCUACUUUUUCGUGGGGGAUAACGUAGGGAAACUUACGCUAAUACCGCAUACGACCUACGGGUGAAAGCAGGGGAUCUUCGGACCUUGCGCGAUUGAAUGAGCCGAUGUCGGAUUAGCUAGUUGGCGGGGUAAAGGCCCACCAAGGCGACGAUCCGUAGCUGGUCUGAGAGGAUGAUCAGCCACACUGGAACUGAGACACGGUCCAGACUCCUACGGGAGGCAGCAGUGGGGAAUAUUGGACAAUGGGCGCAAGCCUGAUCCAGCCACACCGCGUGGGUGAAGAAGGCCUUCGGGUUGUAAAGCCCUUUUGUUGGGAAAGAAAAGCAGCAGGUUAAUACCCCGCUGUUCUGACGGUACCCAAAGAAUAAGCACCGGCCAACUUCGUG
rnacentral:rRNA from 1 species